AAUGAACGUUGGCGACGUGGAUUAGGCAUGCAAGUCGUUCGUCCCGCGAGGGACGAGGCGCAAGGGUGAGUAAGGCGACGACAACCAACCCCGAGGGUGGGCAUAGCCGCGGGAAACUGCGGGUAAUUCCCAGCGAAGUCGGAGGGUGGCAUCAUCCACCGACCAAAGGUGCGAUAUCCGCCUCGGGACGGUUCGUCGUGGUAUCAGCUUGUUGGCGGGGUAACGGCCCACCAAGGCUAAGACGCCUACCGGGCGUGCGAGCGUGGCCCGGCACACUGGGACUGAGACACUGCCCAGACACCUACGGGUGGCUGCAGUCGAGAAUCUUCGGCAAUGGGCGCAAGCCCGACCGAGCGACGUCGCGUGGAGGAUGAAGGCCUUCGGGUUGUAAACUCCUGUCGAGGGGGAACAAGGGCCGGUGGAGAGCCGGACUUGAGUGAUCCCUGGAGGAAGCACGGGCUAAGUUCGUGCCAGCAGCCGCCGUAAAAC
rnacentral:rRNA from 1 species